GUCUGACAGUCAUGACCGCAGCAGCCGGGUGUGAGGGCAGGGCUGGGUAUUCGGAGACCUUCAGAAGCCUGGUCACGGAGGGCCUGCCCAGGGACCCCCCUGCCUCUCCCCCCAGGCCCCACGGCGGCAGAGACUCACAGGCAAAGAACUGCCAGGGCUGGUAGGUGCGGCCGAAGUCCAUGGACCGCUCCAGCACCCAGAGGUCCGGCCGGGGUACGCCCGGGAACAGCUGGGUGCUGUUGGCCAGGUAGGCCUGGAAGCCUAGGGCCCCAAGGGGGAGAGUGGGGUCCCCCAGAGCUGCACAAGACCUACAGUCACCCCACUGGACUGAGCCGGACUGAGACUGCUGUGGGGUCCCCCAUGAAAAGACCACAGACCCCUCAUAGCUUCAGCCCUUGGGGGCACCAGCUGCCCAGACUCCAGACAGGGGCCCUGGACAGCUGUCCUCGAGGGCCUGGUGGCUGCACAGAUGGUCACAGGAAGGGAAGCCCGCGCUGGAGGACUCCCAUCUGUCUCUGACCUGGUCGCGGCUCCCAGGGCCACACCGGCCGCCCUCGCCAUGACCCGGAGCGAGCGCAGACCCCUGGCUUCGGGACCGCCCUUCCCCCUCCACGCCCCGCUCAGCUCAGCUGCCAGUGCUGACCUUUCCGCUGCUACAUGGUUCUGUGCAGAAAGAAAAAAAAAAGUCUUUUAAAGCAAAAGCCAAA
ensembl:lncRNA LAMA5-AS1 LAMA5 antisense RNA 1